rnacentral:rRNA from 1 species
GUGGGGAAUCUUGGACAAUGGGCGCAAGCCUGAUCCAGCCAUGCCGCGUGAGUGAUGAAGGCCCUAGGGUUGUAAAGCUCUUUCGCAGGUGAAGAUAAUGACGGUAACCUGAGAAGAAGCCCCGGCUAACUUCGUGCCAGCAGCCGCGGUAAUACGAAGGGGGCUAGCGUUGUUCGGAAUUACUGGGCGUAAAGCGCACGUAGGCGGAUUGUUAAGUUAGGGGUGAAAUCCCGGGGCUCAACCCCGGAACUGCCUCUAAUACUGGCAAUCUCGAGUCCGAGGGAGGUGAGUGGAAUUCCGAGUGUAGAGGUGAAAUUCGUAGAUAUUCGGAGGAACACCAGUGGCGAAGGCGGCUCACUGGCUCGGUACUGACGCUGAGGUGCGAAAGCGUGGGGAGCAAACAGGAUUAGAAACCCUUGUAGUCC